GCAGAGCAAAGAGUGCCUAGAGGCCAAGAGU
rnacentral:piRNA from 1 species